CUAGUUGUUUCCAGUACUUCAGUCCAAGGGGUCCGUUUCAGUCUGACUUUGGUUACCAGUAAGGACAAAUGUAAUUGGUUAAAAGUCGCUAUGAAGUGUGGAACUAAAAAAUUGGUUGGAUUUUUGGGAAACGCGAAAUUCACUCACCCAAAAAGCGUCCUUAAACCGGAGGCGAGUCAUACUGAGUGAGGAGAAAAACAUGCAAGAUCUGGCUGGCAGGCCUGACUGCAGCUAAGAAGUUUGUAGUCCAGCCUUGGAAACCACUGCAUGAUAUUUCAAAUACUCACUGGCUUCAGAGCUUUUUGGACAUUUCUUACCUGGAAUUAUCAUCAGCAGAGAGUAAAUGAUGCAUGACCAAACAUAACCUUAAUGUGGAUAAAUUUGAUAUCUAACUUAAAACAGGAAUGCUCUGUCUGUGUAUGUGCUACU